AGGGCCAUAGCUCAGUUGGUAGAGCACUUGCCUUACAAGCAAGAUGUCAUCGGUUCGAGACCGGUUGGCCCUA
rnacentral:tRNA from 1 species